AUUGAACGCUGGCGGAAUGCUUUACACAUGCGAGUCGAACGGCAGCACGGGGGCGGCCCUGGUGGCGAGUGGCGAACGGGGGAGUAAUACAUCGGAACGUGCCCGGUCGUGGGGGAUAACGUAGCGAAAGUUACGCUAAUACCGCAUACGAUCUGAGGAUGAAAGCGGGGGACCUUCGGGCCUCGCGCGAUCGGAGCGGCCGAUGUCAGAUUAGGUAGUUGGUGGGGUAAAGGCCUACCAAGCCGACGAUCUGUAGCUGGUCUGAGAGGACGACCAGCCACACUGGGACUGAGACACGGCCCAGACUCCUACGGGAGGCAGCAGUGGGGAAUUUUGGACAAUGGGCGCAAGCCUGAUCCAGCCAUUCCGCGUGCAGGACGAAGGCCUUCGGGUUGUAAACUGCUUUUGUACGGAACGAAAAGGCUCUGGCUAAUACCUGGGGCUCAUGACGGUACCGUAAGAAUAAGCACCGGCUAACUACGUG
rnacentral:rRNA from 1 species